rnacentral:rRNA from 1 species
AACGAACGCUGGCGGCGUGCCUAACACAUGCAAGUCGAACGGAGCCUUUCGGGGCUUAGUGGCGCACGGGUGAGUAAUGCAUGGGUGAUCAACCCUAAAGAGGGGGAUAACUACGGGAAACCGUAGCUAAUACCGCAUAUGUAGGCAACUACAAAGGAGGGGAUCUUCGGACCUUCCGCUUUAGGACGAGCUCAUGUCCCAUUAGCUUGUUGGUGAGGUAACGGCUCACCAAGGCGAAGAUGGGUAACUGGUCUGAGAGGACGAUCAGUCACACUGGAACUGAGACACGGUCCAGACUCCUACGGGAGGCAGCAGUGGGGAAUAUUGCGCAAUGGGCGAAAGCCUGACGCAGCAACGCCGCGUGGAUGAUGAAGGCUCUUGGGUCGUAAAAUCCUUUCGAUUGGGAAAUAGGGUUUGUCCCUUAAUACGGGGCAGAUUUGAUGGUACCUAAAGAAGAAGCACCGGCUAACUUCG